rnacentral:rRNA from 1 species
GGGAAAUCUUACCGGGUCCGGACACACUGAGGAUUGACAGGUGUUUCGUUUUGAUGCAGUACUUAUAUCAAUGCUUUUUGUUGCUUUGGCAGCGGUUUAAUUAUCGUUGUUUUUGUAGUGGGGAGUACAUAUGUGCCGUAUUACAAAACAUUUCAAAUAUGCUAGUCCUUUCAUGAUUGUGUGAUAGGUGGUGCAUGGCCGUUCUUAGUUCGUGGAGUGAUCUGUCUGCUUAAUUGCGUUUCACUAUGGCACGCAUGUGUUUUAUACUAAUACUGUGACCUCAUUGUUUUUUUACAAAGCAGUGACUGCGUCCGGUAUGGUAUGCGCUGUGAUGCCUCGAAGGCAACGA